CUACGGGGUGCUGCAGUGGGGAAUAUUGCACAAUGGGCGCAAGCCUGAUGCAGCCAUGCCGCGUGUAUGAAGAAGGCCUUCGGGUUGUAAAGUACUUUCAGCGGGGAGGAAGGGAGUAAAGUUAAUACCUUUGCUCAUUGACGUUACCCGCAGAAGAAGCACCGGCUAACUCCGUGCCAGCAGCCGCGGUAAUACGGAGGGUGCAAGCGUUAAUCGGAAUUACUGGGCGUAAAGCGCACGCAGGCGGUUUGUUAAGUCAGAUGUGAAAUCCCCGGGCUCAACCGGGGAACUGCAUCUGAUACUGGCAAGCGUGAGUCUCGUAGAGGGGGGUAGAAUUCCAGGUGUAGCGGUGAAAUGCGUAGAGAUCUGGAGGAAUACCGGUGGCGAAGGCGGCCCCCUGGACGAAGACUGACGCUCAGGUGCGAAAGCGUGGGGAGCAAACAGGAUUAGAUACCCGUGUAGUC
rnacentral:rRNA from 1 species